AUCCAGACUCCUACGGGAGGCAGCAGUGGGGAAUAUUGCACAAUGGGGGAAACCCUGAUGCAGCGACGCCGCGUGAGCGAUGAAGUAUUUCGGUAUGUAAAGCUCUAUCAGCAGGGAAGAAAAUGACGGUACCUGACUAAGAAGCCCCGGCUAACUACGUGCCAGCAGCCGCGGUAAUACGUAGGGGGCAAGCGUUAUCCGGAUUUACUGGGUGUAAAGGGAGCGUAGACGGCAAUGCAAGCCAGAUGUGAAAGCCCGGGGCUCAACCCCGGGACUGCAUUUGGAACUGUGUAGCUGGAGUGUCGGAGAGGCAGGCGGAAUUCCUAGUGUAGCGGUGAAAUGCGUAGAUAUUAGGAGGAACACCAGUGGCGAAGGCGGCCUGCUGGACGAUGACUGACGUUGAGGCUCGAAAGCGUGGGGAGCAAACAGGAUUAGAUACCCGGGUA
rnacentral:rRNA from 1 species